UUUUUUUUUUCUUCAAAUAUUUUCAAAUAUUAGAUUUCUAUUAUUGUCAAUUUUUUUUAACGUUUUUUUAUAAUGAGCAACAUGUUAAAGUUACACUAUAACUGAAUUGCUAUGUUUGUCACCUCUUGUACUCACUAUGACCUUAAAAUUCAAUAGAGAGCCAUGAGUCUAAUGUAAGACAGACUUUUCUUGAAAGCUGCACUGUUCUUGGUUCUGCUACAUUUGUGGGAAAGGUACUUGUGAGCAGAUGAUUUGGAGUUGAUGAUUGUGGGUGGGGGUAAUUUAGAGAGAAUAAAGUUGAGGAAUAUGUAAAUAGUUCACUAUUGCUAUUAUACUAAUGCCUUUGUCCUUUUAUUUCAUGCACAUCUAGUUCUGUGUUAUACUAUUUUGUUAAUCCCUUUGUGGGUUUUGGUUUGGGAGAUGGAAUUGGAAUAUCUGAGCUGUGGAUUCCAAAUCCAAGUGGGAUUUGAGAACUUAUGUGUGGGAUGUGUACAUGGGAUGUAGAUAGAUAAAGAAAAUGCUUUCUUUUUGUGCUGAUUCUCUUAUGUCAUAGCAGAUUAGAUGUUAGGUUACCAUUUUAUUUUAUACGUAGAAGUGGAUUCCCUCACGUGAGUCACUAGCUUUGCUUCCCUUUCUGUUACUUAAAGAAGAGAUGUUGUAGUGGAUGACUAUAGAAUAGGAUAUGCUUACAUGGUAAGGGGCUGAAAACUGAAUCCUUUGAACAAAACGGGUUAGCCUAGCCUCCCACCUGCCGUGGGUGGUAGAGCUGAGCAGUUUUUGGUUUUUCAAUUUUAGAUUGAUUUGAAAAAUGUAUGUCCUUUGUGGGUUCGAUCCUAUUGAUCGUACGGCCGAAGUGGGUGGUUUAGUUUUCCAUUAUUAGUUUUGUUUUGCCCUUUUUGAGGUCUCUUGUAGGGAAUCUUGGCUCGUCCCUUGUCUUGCAUGGUAGGCUAGGGUCACUAGGGAGUGUAGUCUUGCUCUUUGUCGUUGCCUGUGUUUCUAAGGUGUUUUGGGGGGAAUGUUUCAUGGGGAGGUUAGUUUUUUUAUGAGAUUUAUGUUCAAAGCCUACAAUUUUUUUGAAAUGUAAUUAAAAGUUUAAAGUUUAUUAUUUAAUUAUUUUAGAGAUUUUUAAUAAAAUAAUAUUUCAUAUGAAAUUUACAUGUUAUUAUAUAUAAAUUUAAUAACAUAUAAAAAUAUGAAAUUCAAUAUUAAACAAACCAAG
rnacentral:misc_RNA from 1 species